UACGAAGGGGGGCUAGCGUUGUUCGGAAUUACUGGGCGUAAAGCGCGUGUAGGCGGGUCUUUAAGUCAGGGGUGAAAUGCCAAGGCUCAACCUUGGAACUGCCUUUGAUACUGGAGAUCUUGAGUCCGGGAGAGGUGAGUGGAACUGCGAGUGUAGAGGUGAAAUUCGUAGAUAUUCGCAAGAACACCAGUGGCGAAGGCGGCUCACUGGCCCCGGAACUGACGCUGAGACGCGAAAGCGUGGGGAGCAACAGGGAUUAAGAAACCCUGAGUACGU
rnacentral:rRNA from 1 species